CACUAGCUGCCUUUAAGGUUUCUUGCCUACAGUCACAUAACUAUUUGGUGUUAGGAUAGAGAAGAAAUCAGGAAGAAUUUUACUGAAGCAUGUCUCACUUUGACAACCCAGCACCACACAGAAAUGCUCAUAUUAGCUAAGAACAUUGUUAAAGAGAACUUUAUUGAAACAACUGGCAUUUAUCUGUUCUACUUGAAUGGCCCCAUUUUGAGUCAUUAUGAACUUCACAGAUGAGAAAACUGAGACAAACAAGUUAAAUGAUUUAUCAAGGGUCCCAUAGCUAGGAAAUAUCAGAAGUCAAGUCUUCCUACCCCGGAACUGUGUCUACUAUACCACUUUCAUGAAUACAAAUAAUGUGAAUCCAGAUCUUCUGACUUCUGAGGACUUGGUUUCAGUGGAGAAAAUGCAGGAGGACAGACCAGCCAAGGCUGAUGAAGAUGGAAAUGAAUCUCUCUCCUUGCUUCGAGAGCUUGAGCUCCUGCCUCCAGUCUGCUUGUCUUCUCUGAUUCUGAAUGAAUCUGGCUCUGCGUCCCAGCUUAUAUGCUCUAUACUGAGUAUAAACCAAUCAUUAUAUCAUGAGGAAAUCAUUAUUUGUUGUAAGAUUAAAUCAAUCAUACUGAAUUUAGAGAACUAUUAAUCACCAUGCUAAACUAGAUAACCAUUGUCUCAUCAAUUCCACUGACUUAGCACUUGUAAGAACCCUUGUUUCAAGUUCAGAGUUUUGGCCCAUAACAAAAAUACAAAAGCAUUGCUUUAUAAAAUGUAAAAUAAUAAUGACAUUCAUCUAAUAAAGUAAAAAUUUCAAAAAUCUCAAGAAAAAUAAUGCAAAACAGGGGUAUAUGUGGAGAGAAUAGGAUACAGAAAGUAGCUGAAUAAUAUCACAUCUCAAGUGCAUACAGCAGUAGUUCUCAAACUUUUGUUUUCAGUGUCUUUAUCCUAUUAAAAAUGUUUGUGCCAAAGCA